AUCAAACUCCUAGCCUUUGCGCCUAAGUCAUUACCUUCACACAAAUGAUAUGGCGCCCUGGCCGUGGCGUAAGCCACCAGGGUGCGAGGCAGAAAUGCCUGCAUCUCCCGUAUUUGGAAAGGUGUUACUGGU
rnacentral:ncRNA from 1 species